AGAGGCACAGUAGGUGACCUGGAAAACGAUACGUACCUCGACCCUUCUCAUGAUAUUUUUGUUAUCUUUGAGAAAGACAACGAAAGCGAAAUGAAGUUUCGAGUUCAACUCGAAACUGCUAUUGUGAGUGUCAUAUCAGAAAGAUUAAUGGUCGGAUCAACGACAGCGCAACACAUUCCUAUUGUCAAGUUGAGCCUUCCUAGGAAUCAAAACAAGAAGGAAACAUCAUACAGUUCUAUCCUUAAUUUGAGCGUAUCGACCACUGGAAGUAAAUUUGAGGACUCCACGAAUGUGCCGACUGAAGAUUACAUGUGGGAAAAAAUCACUACCUUUGUGGUAGAGCAUUGUUGGAAAGGUAAA